rnacentral:rRNA from 1 species
UACAGAGGGUGCGAGCGUUAAUCGGAAUUACUGGGCGUAAAGCGCGCGUAGGCGGUUUUGCAAGUCGGGUGUGAAAUCCCCAGGCUUAACCUGGGAACUGCAUUCGAGACUGCAUUACUAGAGUAUGGGAGAGGGAAGUGGAAUUUCCGGUGUAGCGGUGAAAUGCGUAGAUAUCAGGAGGAACACCGGUGGUGUAGACGGCUCACUGGACCGUAACUGACGCUGAGACACGAAAGCGUGGGUAGCAAACAGG